rnacentral:rRNA from 1 species
CAGCAGCCGCGGUAAUACAGAGGGUGCAAGCGUUAAUCGGAAUUACUGGGCGUAAAGCGAGCGUAGGUGGCUUGAUAAGUCAGAUGUGAAAUCCCCGGGCUUAACCUGGGAACUGCAUCUGAUACUGUUAGGCUAGAAUAGGUGAGAGGAAGGUAGAAUUCCAGGUGUAGCGGUGAAAUGCGUAGAGAUCUGGAGGAAUACCGAUGGCGAAGGCAGCCUUCUGGCAUCAUAUUGACACUGAGGUUCGAAAGCGUGGGUAGCAAACAGGAUUAGAUACCCUGGUAGUCCACGCCGUAAACGAUGUCUACUAGUCGUUGGGUCCCUUGAGGACUUAGUGACGCAGCUAACGCAAUAAGUAGACCGCCUGGG